rnacentral:rRNA from 1 species
CCCGCGGCUAGACGGAAAGACCCCGUGAACCUUUACUACAGCUUGGCACUGAACAUUGAACCUACAUGUGUAGGAUAGGUGGGAGGCUAUGAAGACGUGACGCCAGUUGCGUUGGAGCCGUCCUUGAAAUACCACCCUUGUAUGUUUGAUGUUCUAACUUAGCCCCAUUAUCUGGGGUGAGGACAGUGCCUGGUGGGUAGUUUGACUGGGGCGGUCUCCUCCCAAAGAGUAACGGAGGAGCACGAAGGUGGGCUAAUCACG